AGUGAACGCUGGCGGUAGGCCUAACACAUGCAAGUCGAACGGCGGCACAGUAAGAGCUUGCUCUUACGGGUGGCGAGUGGCAGACGGGUGAGGAAUACAUCGGAAUCUACUUUUUCGUGGGGGAUAACGUAGGGAAACUUACGCUAAUACCGCAUACGACCUACGGGUGAAAGCAGGGGAUCUUCGGACCUUGCGCGAUUGAAUGAGCCGAUGUCGGAUUAGCUAGUUGGCGGGGUAAAGGCCCGCCAAGGCGACGAUCCGUAGCUGGUCUGAGAGGAUGAUCAGCCACAAUGGAACGGAGACACGGUCCAGACUCCUACGAGAGGCAGCAGUGGGGAAGAUUGGACAAUGGGCGCAAGCCUGAUCCAGCCAUACCGCGUGGGUGAAGAAGGCCUUCGGGUUGUAAAGCCCUUUUGUUGGGAAAGAAAAGCAGCAGGUUAAUACCCCGCUGUUCUGACGGUACCCAAAGAAUAAGCACCGGCUAACUUCGUG
rnacentral:rRNA from 1 species